CGAAAAACACUGCCGAAAGGGUUAAACGCACCACAGAAGAGCGCAUAUUUAAAUAUUACUAGUCGACGGCGGAGGACAUACGGUACGCAAGCGAAAAACAGCAUUCUAAAACCACUGAAUUUCAUUCGAAAAUCAAACUGAAGGGCACUGGCGUGGAUGUAUAACGUGUCUUAAACUACUCGAAAUAAGGUGCGCAAUAAUACAUGACGAUCAAUAGUGUCAAAGCGACGAUAGUAUACACAGAGGAUGUUUAUCAGAUAUUUUCUACUACAGUCCAUUGCAGUCAAUUCAGAAUUUCAACACAGUACAAAAACUAAACAAAUGAAAUAACAAUUUAUUGUUUAAAAUAAUUUUUAUUUAUAUACUUA